UGCGAAGGCAGCGUACCGGCGCCACACUGACGCUGAGGCACGAAAGCGUGGGGAUCGAACAGGAUUAGAUACCCUGGUAGUCCACGCAGUAAACGAUGAAUGCUGGUUGUCCGGGUCGAAUGAGACCUGGGCGGCGAAGCGAAAGCGAUAAGCAUUCCACCUGGGGAGUACGCCGGCAACGGUGAAACUCAAAGGAAUUGACGGGGGCCCGCACAAGCGGAGGAACAUGUGGUUUAAUUCGAUGAUACGCGAGGAACCUUACCCGGGCUCAAACGGGAGCGGAAUGGACCAGAGACGGUUCAGCCUACGGGCCGCUUCCGAGGUGCUGCAUGGUUGUCGUCAGCUCGUGCCGUGAGGUGUCGGCUUAAGUGCCAUAACGAGCGCAACCCCCGCCGGCAGUUGCUAACGGGCAAUGCCGAGGACUCUGCCGGGACUGCCGCCGCAAGGCGAGAGGAAGGCGGGGAUGACGUCAAAUCAGCACGGCCCUUACGUCCGGGGCGACACACGUGUUACAAUGGGCGGUACAGCGGGAAGCCAGGCGGCGACGCCGAGCGGAACCCGAAAGCCGUUCUCAGUUCGGAUCGGAGUCUGCAACCCGACUCCGUGAAGCUGGAUUCGCUAGUAAUCGCGCAUCAGCCAUGGCGCGGUGAAUACGUUCCCGGGCCUUGUACACACCGCCCGUCAAGCCAUGGGAGCCGGGGGUGCUUGAAGUGCGUCGCCGCGAGGCGCGCCCUAGAGCAAAACCGGUGACUGGGGCUAAGUCGUAACAAGGUAGCCGUAA
rnacentral:rRNA from 1 species